AAGGAUUACGUUAUUUACAUCUUCCUGUUGCUAUUUUUGUUGCAAACACUGUGUUUAAACAUGGCAUUAAGUGGAAAACAAGGUACAUCAUUUGUAUGAAGCCAAAUACGCCAGAGGUCAAGCUCCCGAACUCGGGGUUAUUUGUUUAAACAACAGUGAACGCCCCUGUUGUCGCUUACGGUGUGACCUGUAUUUGCAGUCGAGUUGGGGGACAACUGGCCGGGUUGAUUGUAGGAGCGGCUGUCUUCUGUCUUCUCCUGUACCUAUACACUCUCUGGCGUGGGUUUCAAAAGUGGCGAAAAAGACCAUCAUACGAAAAGAAGGAAUUUUUCUGCCACAGAACAUUUUUAGUUUUUAACAAAUACUGCUCCAAGAGGCAUAAGAGCUACAACCUUCCCACCGUCAUAUAUCACGUAGAAAAGACAGAACCGCCAACCAAACGUAGUCGACGUAAUAAGAAACAUCCGGUCCUAGAGAACGGCGAAGUUAAUAUUCUUUUCAAAUCUGACGGCGAUGAUGUUCCCAAGGAAAGUGUAAAUAGAUUAAAGACAAAAAGAGUGAGUUUCAGUAUAGAAGUCAUUGAGAAAGACGAACAAGAGAGCACCGAAAAAGCUAUUUACAAUAGUUUAUUGAGGACGUUAACUGUACAGGAGCCACCGAUCAGAGAGUCCGCAGAAACGUACCAAGAAGUUGACCUUAACAAUUGAAUACAUCAAGUUCUUUAUUCUAAUCUAAAAACGUGUGGGUGUACGUGCUUGUAUAGAUAUUGCAACAUGUAUACUUAUUUUUCAUCUGAAUGUUUAAAUCUUUAAUUUUUUACUAUAUUUUAUACAUUUGUUAAGAUUUAUUUGUCAUAUUAAACUAGGGUAUUUUUA